UUCUUAUUGAAUGAUGACUGUCACGUGUCAUGUUCUAAUUGGAUGUCGAAUUAUUGUUGUUGUCAUUGGUUGAUCAGAACAUACAUGUGAUAGUCAUCAUUCAAUAAGAACGUGACACGUGGCAGUCAACAUUC
rnacentral:pre_miRNA from 1 species